GACGAACGCUGGCGGCGUGCUUAACACAUGCAAGUCGAACGGAAAGGCCCUGCUUUUGUGGGGUGCUCGAGUGGCGAACGGGUGAGUAACACGUGAGUAACCUGCCCUUGACUUUGGGAUAACUUCAGGAAACUGGGGCUAAUACCGGAUAGGAGCUCCUGCUGCAUGGUGGGGGUUGGAAAGUUUCGGCGGUUGGGGAUGGACUCGCGGCUUAUCAGCUUGUUGGUUGGGGAGUGGCUUACCAAGGCUUUGACCGGUAGCCGGCCUGAGAGGGUGACCGGCCACAAUGGGACUGAGAUACGGCCCAGAGUGCUACGGGAGGCAGCAGUGGGGAAUAUUGCACAAUGGGAGGAAGCCUGAUGCAGCAACGCCGCGUGCGGGAUGACGGCCUUCGGGUUGUAAACCGCUUUCGCCUGUGACGAAGCGUGAGUGACGGUAAUGGGUAAAGAAGCACCGGCUAACUACGUG
rnacentral:rRNA from 1 species